rnacentral:rRNA from 1 species
UCCUCUUUAAACUUUUGCGCAAAAAAGGGAUUUUAAUUCAACAUCGAGGUCAUAAACACACUUUUCAAUUUGAACUUUCUAAGUGGAUUAAGCUGUUAUCCCUAAAGUAACUUAUUUCUGUUUUAGAAAUUCUAGAAAUUUAAACAGGUUUGUUUUCUUUUAUUAAGAAAAGAUCUUUUCCUUACCGCCCCAGCAAAAUACUUUUUCCUUUUUAAUAUAGAAAAAAAUAUAAAGUUUUAUAGGGUCUUCUUGUCUUAAAGAAUUAUUUUAGCCUUCUUACUAAAAAGUAAAAUUCAUUUUUUUAGAUAAAAAGAAAUUCUCCCGGUUUACUCUUUCAUUCCAGUCUUAAAUUAAAAGA